UGGCUCAGGACGAACGCUGGCGGCACGCUUAACACAUGCAAGUCGAACGGAGAUAUUUUGGUUUACUGAGAUAUCUUAGUGGCGGACGGGUGAGUAACACGUGAGCAACCUACCUUAGAGAGAGGGAUAGCUUCUGGAAACGGAUGGUAAUACCUCAUAACAUAACUGAACCGCAUGAUUUAGUUAUCAAAGAUUUAUCACUCUGAGAUGGGCUCGCGUCUGAUUAGAUAGUUGGUGAGGUAACGGCUCACCAAGUCGACGAUCAGUAGCCGGACUGAGAGGUUGAACGGCCACAUUGGGACUGAGACACGGCCCAGACUCCUACGGGAGGCAGCAGUGGGGAAUAUUGCACAAUGGGGGAAACCCUGAUGCAGCGAUGCCGCGUGGAGGAAGAAGGUUUUCGGAUUGUAAACUCCUGUCUUAAAGGACGAUAAUGACGGUACUUUAGGAGA
rnacentral:rRNA from 1 species